UACAGAGGGUGCAAGCGUUAUCCGGAUUCACUGGGUUUAAAGGGUGCGUAGGCGGGUUGGUAAGUCAGGGGUGAAAUCUCCGAGCUUAACUCGGAAACUGCCGUGGAUACUAUCAAUCUUGAAUAUCGUGGAGGUAAGCGGAAUAUGUCAUGUAGCGGUGAAAUGCUUAGAUAUGACAUAGAACACCAAUUGCGUAGGCAGCUUACUACACGAUCAUUGACGCUGAGGCACGAAAGCGUGGGGAGCAAACAGG
rnacentral:rRNA from 1 species